AACGCACAUUGCGCCCCUCGGAAUUCCGGGGGGCAUGCCUGUUCGAGCGUCAUUAAAUCCUUCAAGCGUCGCUUGGUGUUGGGUGGCCGUCCCCGGGCAGGGGACGCCCCCGAAAAUCAGUGGCGGUCCGGGGGGACUUCGAGCGUAGUAGAAACACGAACACCCCGCUCUGGAAGAUCCUCCCGGAGUGGCCAUCGACCCCCAUCUCCUGAAAAUUGACCUCGGAUCAGGUAGGGAUACCCGCUGAACUUAA
rnacentral:misc_RNA from 1 species